UGGGGAAUAUUGCACAAUGGGCGAAAGCCUGAUGCAGCAACGCCGCGUGAGGGAAGAAGGUAUUCGUAUUGUAAACCUCUGUCUUUGGUGAAGAAAAAAAUGACGGUAGCCAAGGAGGAAGCCACGGCUAACUACGUGCCAGCAGCCGCGGUAAUACGUAGGUGGCAAGCGUUGUCCGGAUUUACUGGGUGUAAAGGGUGCGCAGGCGGGUAUGUAAGUUGGGUGUGAAAACUAUGGGCUCAACCCAUAGCUUGCAUCCAAAACUAUGUAUCUUGAGUGAAGUAGAGGUAGGCGGAAUUCCGAGUGUAGCGGUGAAAUGCGUAGAUAUUCGGAGGAACACCAGUGGCGAAGGCGGCCUACUGGGCUUUAACUGACGCUGAGGCACGAAAGCAUGGGGAGCAAACAGG
rnacentral:rRNA from 2 species